UAACAUAAGAUGCAUACAGAUAAACCUGCAGCACUCGAAGAGUGCUACAGCGAAUCUGACAACACUCGUGAACAAGGGGGCAUCGACAUCAGCCUAGUACAGGAGCCCUGGGUCAAUGAAGAUACCAUUAAAGAGCUAAACUGCAGAAACUAUAACCUGUUUUACACACGGAACAGAGCACAGCAGAUACGUAUCACAGAAGGAAAAGUCCUUCUUCUUGGUCUCGGCCUACUAGGCCCAUGGCGAAGACAUACCACCGGCCCCGCUCACCAGACCAGUAGAGGAGAACAGGAAGGAUGAUGUCCUAAUAGGGUGUGAUGCAAACGUAAGGCACAGCGUAUGGGGUAGCUCCAGAGGUUCAACUUUAUUGGUAUGCGUCUGCUUUGACGUCACAAAAAGCCUACUUCUACUCGUUUCGCAAAUUUAUAACAAAAAUAUGAAGAAAAUGAAGUUCGUACGCAAGUGUAUUGAAGUGCGUACAACCGACUGUACGGGACACCAGCCCAUUACGCCAUAAAAUUUAUAAUCAUAUUUAAGGCGAAAAUGUUAAAUAUGUCGAGCCAUACACAGAGAUUCAUUAUUUGCAAUUAGGAAAAUUAAGAUGUCAUUUUCGUUUGCGAAACAUUUUGUCAGUGCGGCAAAUUUAAUCGUAAAACUAAAUCAACUUGACAUAUUCAGGGAUGGACGCGAAUACUGAUGCUGAACGAGUGUGGCAGGCGAGUGCUGACUCGCACGGUGGUCAAAAGUUUAUUUUCAGCAGUCAGAUUAAAAAGUCAUUUUGCUAAUAGCGAUGUAUUGGCUCAAAAGCGAAAUUAAUUGAAAUCAGAAACAGAGAAAUGUAAGUAUGUUGUUGAUUGUCGACAAAUUUUCAUAUUUUUCUUUUGGUGGAUACUUUGAUUUUGUUGCCAAUUAUCAAUAAAUGGUAAUUAAAAGUGUAAGCAUAUUUUUAUAUUUGCUCUUGAGCAACAUUGAACAAAGUAUUAAUACCAUUUAAUAAUGUGAAAUUUAUAAAUUAAAUGUUAAACGGUAAAUUAGCAAACACAUUUA